rnacentral:rRNA from 1 species
AUUGAACGCUGGCGGCAUGCUUUACACAUGCAAGUCGAACGGUAACAGGCCUUCGGGUGCUGACGAGUGGCGAACGGGUGCGUAAUGCAUCGGAACGUACCCAGAGGUGGGGGAUAACGCAGCGAAAGCUGUGCUAAUACCGCAUGUGAUCUGAGGAUGAAAGCGGGGGACCGAGCAGCAAUGUUUGGCCUCGCGCCUUUGGAGCGGCCGAUGUCGGAUUAGCUAGUUGGUGGGGUAAAGGCCUACCAAGGCGACGAUCCGUAGCUGGUCUGAGAGGACGACCAGCCACACUGGAACUGAGACACGGCCCAGACUCCUACGGGAGGCAGCAAUGGGGAAUUUUGGACAAUGGGCGCAAGCCUGAUCCAGCAAUGCCGCGUGCGGGAAGAAGGCCUUCGGGUUGUAAACCGCUUUUGGCAGGAACGAAACGGUGUCCGCUAAUACCGGGCGCUAAUGACGGUACCUGCAGAAUAAGCACCGGCUAACUACGUG